rnacentral:rRNA from 1 species
CCUACGGGAGGCAGCAGUGGGGAAUAUUGGACAAUGGGCGAAAGCCUGAUCCAGCAAUGCCGCGUGAGUGAUGAAGGCCUUCGGGUCGUAAAGCUCUUUUACCAGGGAUGAUAAUGACAGUACCUGGAGAAUAAGCUCCGGCUAACUCCGUGCCAGCAGCCGCGGUAAUACGGAGGGAGCUAGCGUUGUUCGGAAUUACUGGGCGUAAAGAGUACGUAGGCGGUUAUUCAAGUCAGAGGUGAAAGCCCGGGGCUCAACCCCGGAACUGCCUUUGAAACUAGAUAACUAGAGUCUUGGAGAGGUUAGUGGAAUUCCGAGUGUAGAGGUGAAAUUCGUAGAUAUUCGGAAGAACACCAGUGGCGAAGGCGACUAACUGGACAAGUACUGACGCUGAGGUACGAAAGCGUGGGGAGCAAACAGGAUUAGAUACCCUGGUAGUCCACGCCGUAAACGAUGAUAACUAGUUGUUCGGUCACUUGGUGACUGAGUGACGCAGCUAACGCAUUAAGUUAUCCGCCUGGGGAUACGGUCGCAAGNUUAAAACUUAAAUGAAUUGACGG